AAAGAAGCUAUAUACAUCAAAAACUGGAUACUAAUGGCUGUUUUGCGAAAUUGAGAGCAAUUUCAAAUCUGUUCAGCUUUUUUUUAUACACCCUGCAUGUAUAUAAAGCAAAAUAUUAAAGCUUAUUCAUGUCAAAACGAAAGCUGUUUAUAAAAUGUUUAUGUGGUGAACACUACUAAACAGUGCUCAGAAAGACAUAUAUAUAUAUAGGCCUAUAUAUAUUGACAUAUUAUCGUUUGACUUAUCUUUG